AAAACCUUCAUGUUUGUUGCUAAUUCUGCUUUUAAGCCAUUUUCUGUUCUGUGAUUGAAAGUGUGAUUGCAGCAUGCACAGUUGUACAUGUGCUAGCUUUAAUUUAGCUAACUUGGAUAUUAAUAGCUACAAAAUUGUACUCUAGGCUAUAGAUAACCUCCAGAGAACCUGGCAGAUUACACAGGCUGCUUUUGCUCUGUUUCUCAUGGGGGACAUCCACAACCCAGAACAUCCAAGUACAGCUUGCUAAACAGACUGGUUAGGCUGGCCACCACCUGUGGCUGGUAUCCCUUCCUUUCAAAGAUGACUGUCCCCAUCUGUAUCCACCUAUGAAUGAAGUGGUAGGUGACAGGGACCGAAUUUGCAAAGACACACCUCUUGGAUAUGAUACUGCUCCUUCGCAACUACUACAUGAAAUCUACUGCAAAAGACCUGCAUGCCAGUGGAAGGCAACAUCAGCAGAUGAUUACUUCAGAAGUGAGCUGAAGACAAAUUUAAUUGAACAAAAUAGCUUUAAAACCAGUUUCCAGCUCCCCUUUUUAAAGUUCUCCUUUGAACAUGAGAAUGACUGCAAGCUUGUAUUUCCUGGACAUGGUUUCCUAGUGUUAGCUUUGCAUACAGGUCAUAAUCUGAAGCUUCAAUAAUUCUUCCCUUAAUGUUUCAAAGAGAUCUGGUGUGGCGGAAGUGUUGAGACAUGUCCAGAAAGUUCAGGAUCUGAAGCUGGAAAAUGAGUGGAUUUCCUUGCUAACAACUGACCAUUAAUCUGCUAAAAUGCUUUAGAAUAUAAAUUGUUAAUUGUGCAGAAACCUUUUAACCCCUGGCCUUAGUGAAACCAGCAUCCAUGGGACUGGGAUUUGGAUAGGCAGAGGACUGCCACUUUCCCCUCAGAGUCCCUUAAUGUUUUGGCACAGAAGACAUAGAUUUUCCCAUUUUCCUGUAGUGAUUUAUGGCUGGUGAUAAAUUUGAUAUCUAUUUCAAGAAUAAUUUGCCAUUCCCAUUAAAUCCAUUAGCUUGUAAUGCAUCAGUGCUACCUAUGACAACCAAAUAACAAAUACCAGUAGCUAAAGGGUUUUUUUCCCCUGACACAUACAAUAUAAAUUUAUUUCUAUAAAGGAAUAAAGAAAUUACUUGAUUUGCA
rnacentral:lncRNA from 1 species